UGACUACGUCCCUGCCCUUUGUAC
rnacentral:ncRNA from 2 species